GAUGAACGCUGGCGGCGUGCCUAAUACAUGCAAGUCGAGCGAACAGAUGAGGAGCUUGCUCCUCUGACGUUAGCGGCGGACGGGUGAGUAACACGUGGAUAACCUACCUAUAAGACUGGGAUAACUUCGGGAAACCGGAGCUAAUACCGGAUAAUAUAUUGAACCGCAUGGUUCAAUAGUGAAAGACGGUUUUGCUGUCACUUAUAGAUGGAUCCGCGCCGCAUUAGCUAGUUGGUAAGGUAACGGCUUACCAAGGCAACGAUGCGUAGCCGACCUGAGAGCGUGAUCGGCCACACUGGAACUGAGACACGGUCCAGACUCCUACGGGAGGCAGCAGUAGGGAAUCUUCCGCAAUGGGCGAAAGCCUGACGGAGCAACGCCGCGUGAGUGAUGAAGGUCUUCGGAUCGUAAAACUCUGUUAUUAGGGAAGAACAAAUGUGUAAGUAACUAUGCACGUCUUGACGGUACCUAAUCAGAAAGCCACGGCUAACUACGUG
rnacentral:rRNA from 1 species